rnacentral:rRNA from 1 species
GACAGAGGUUGCAAACGUUGUUCGGAAUUACUGGGCAUAAAGCGCACGUAGGCGGUUCGUUAAGUCAUGUGUGAAAUCCCCCGGCUCAACCGGGGAAUUGCGCCUGAUACUGGCGGGCUAGAGAUCGAUAGGGGUGAGCGGAACUCCAGGUGGAGCGGUGAAAUGCGUAGAUAUCUGGAGGAACACCGGUGGCGAAAGCGGCUCACUGGAUCGAAACUGACGCUGAGGUGCGAAAGCGUGGGGAGCGAACAGG